rnacentral:tRNA from 1 species
GCCAGCAUGGUGCAGUGGUUUGAGUGGUGGACUACAACUCUGGAGAACAGGGUUUGAAUCCCUGCUCAGCCA